CUUCAGUUCUCCUCACAAGAAGACUAGCACUAUCCGUAGACAAGACAGCAUUGUGAUGAUUUUAGAACCUGGGAACGCGGCUGAAGCACCCUCCUGGACCACAGAUACUGAGGAGGACCACAAUAGAACUGUAAGAAGAGCGCCUACACUGACCGCACCUUCUGCCCUCGGGGCUGCACAAAAUCCACUGGAGACCUACGGUUUCUCCAGUGGGAAAAGAGACAAGGAAGAAGUCUACAUUGGUACGUACUGGAAGAUGAAGUGAGUUUGAAAACACAAGCAGAGGGAGCACCUCCUAAUCAUUCUAUGAGGCCAUAAUUACCAUAAUAUCCAAAAAAGAUAACGCAUUACAAGAAAACUACAGACCAACAUCUCUUAUGAAGGAGAAGAAGCAUGUGGAUUCUCAGAAAAAUGUUUCUACUGAUCUUCAUACCCAAAUUUGAAGGUAAUCAUAGAGAAAUCUCUAGGAAGAAUAAAGUACCAUAAAACCCAAAGUCUCAGAUACAUCCUCUGAUAUCUCAAGCUUGAGUUCUAACCUCUGCAACAUGAGAAUUGAUGAGUGUCUUCGGAGUAAAGCCGAUGUUUACAUAAAAAUUCAUUUGGCUGAGGAUGCUUCACUUCCUUCAAAGGUCUAUGGAGAUGCUUUGUAAUAGGAGAAAAAUUUAAAAAUGAAGAGAAGACCAAAGAAUGAAAAAAACUUAUUCAACACCAUGUAUUUUUUUUUAAAGCUACUUUGAUUCUAGAUCUCUGUUUAUGCCAUGUGAAAAAGCCCAAGCUAUCCUGCUGUAUGCUAAAGACACAUUACCCUGACAACCCUGUUGUACAGCCUAUAGCCAAUAACUGCAAUGUGAUUGAGGCCUUCUUAGAGCACCAGUUCCCAGCCAACACACCAGCUGCCUGCAGAUGCAUGAAUGAACCCAGCCAAGAUCAGCUGAGUCUGGCUCAGUUGAGCAGAAGCACCUCACUGGCCAUAGACUUAUUCGCAAUAAUAAAUGCUCUUUGUUUUAAAUCGCUGAGUUUUGGAACAAUAGCUAAUGGGCAUACCCCAUUCAACAAAUAAUUAAUUUCCCUCAGUUUUUGUUAAUUAUUUAAUUAGUUUUUAUAUAUAGUGUUAAUAGUUUUCCCAUUAGGUGUUAGAAUGAACCCUUAAUUAUAAGAAUGCAAAAUACCUCCAUUUCUCCAAGAUUAUUUAUAUUCUGUUAGAAGAUAAACAAUGGAAAUGUUUACUAGUAUUUUGUAAUAUUUUAUGACUACUUCAAGUGUUUUGCAAACCCUUCUCUUUUAAAUUGAUUAUGAGGUGUAGUUUAUUAUCACGUAAUCAUCGUGCUAAGUAACUUGGCAUAUUUGAAUAUCUCAGAUUGUUUGAACUUUGUCUUUAUUAGUGGAUUUCUGUGAUAUGUUUGUUAACUUAUGUAUAGUGAAUUAAAUUUCUGUCGUUUAUAUUUUUAGUUCUUUUCAAAUUGCUCAUAAUGUUAGCUGAAAAGAGUAUAAUUUAGAAUAGAAUUAUAUAGUUUGGUCUGAUAGCUAGGUAGGCAGAAUAAAUAGACGGACAGAUAGAUAGAUAGAUAGAUAGAUAGAUAGAUAGAUGGACAGAUAGCUGGGAAAGCACAUAGAUGCAUGCAAACUGCUUAGCACAAUGCCUGGCAUGUCAUUUACCCUCAAUAAAUAUUAAUUCGG